rnacentral:rRNA from 1 species
UACAGCGUAGGAGAUACACCUGUACCCAUGCCGAACACAGAAGUUAAGCCCUAGAACGCCGGAAGUAGUUGGGGGUUGCCCCCUGUGAGAUAGGGAUGUAC